UGUCCAGGGAUGGGAAACGAACCCACAGUGUUCUGCUUACUGGGCAGAUGCCAUGUCCACUAGGCUAUAAUCAUAAGCCGCAC